GUUUUAACAUUUGUAAAAAUUUACUAAAUACUUUCCUGCAAAUAGAAAUUCUCAUGUGAAAAAUGCAUUUAUCAUUACAAAAUUGAAAAUGGAUGACUGUGAAUGUGAGACAAAUCAUGUUAGCCACAUGUAUGGAGUUACAUGCAUAAUAUGUUUACUUCAAAAUUAUUUUUUAUAUAUUCAAAAUAUGGGUCAAAGUAACAAAUGGCCAGAUUGCAAAAUAUGG
rnacentral:lncRNA from 1 species